GUGAAUCUCAGAUAUUGUUAUGAGGAUUUACUCUCUCAAUCUAAUCACUCUCUUGCGGGUAAAGCAAAGCAGUCACCAACACCAAGCACCAUGGCGUGUGGGUUAGAACGUUUUCUUGAAGGCAAGGGCUCUUGAGCAAAAAAGGACAAGGGAAAAAGUUGAAUGAAGGCUGAAUUUUGUGUUUGUAGGUUGAAAGUAGCUCUGGAACUGUUAAUGAUGUGGCAAACUCAAUUAUGUAAAAAUUUUGGGACUCAACUUUAGUGCUAGAACCAUCAGAUAAUUAUGGCACUCAGAGGUACUUAGCUAUUUCACUUCAGUAUACAAUUUGUUUUUAGUUUGACGGCACAAGCAAGAGAAAAUCAAUAGCAAGAAGGCUCAAAGCUAAACAGAUCCCAUAAAGAAAAGAUAUGUGACAGGUUUUGUAGUAUUUUAUCUAAGUGUGAUAUUUUGAAUAGAUCCCUCGGGUAUUUUGGGCAUAAGGAAUUUU